UCUGUGACUCAUAAUGAGCUUCAUUUUCAUGUUGACCCCUCCCCCCCCUGCUCCUAACGAUCAUCUACGCUGUUCUGGGUCCAGAACCCAGACCUGGGGGAGGAACCGACCCGUCCCGGAGCAGACCGACAUCAAAGCCCUUCAUCCAUGAGAGCCCGAGGCGACGACAGACGAUGGCUCAGAGCGACAGGAAAUGCAAACAAAUAUUUAUGAGGAGAACCGGAUCAUUUCAGACGACCCGUGAGCGCGACGGGAGGCGGAUCAGGGAGACCACCAAUGGUUUCACACUACAGUUGCAGCGUGAUAAGAAGACGGUUUUACUUGGUGUGGUUACUGUGUUUGGGAAUCUGUAGAGUGAAGGUCGAUGACUGGAUGGAAGCAGAAGGUCCAUGGAUGUUCUGUCAGCUCUGACCUUAUGGUCCAGCAGCUGCAGGCAGAACCUGGAACUCACGGUUCCUCCACAUGUUCCAACAAGCCCAACUGUGAAGGAUGAAGGUUGUUGAUCCCAAAUCGGAGCUACCAAGGUCCAAGCCCAAACUAACAAAACAAAACCCCGCAAUCUAAGAGGGUAAAAGAGACCAAAGCAACACCACAAAAACUAAAAACCCAGCCUGCUGCUCUGCUCCCUUCCUGGACCGGUGUGGCCUCGUCUGUCUUAACUCGACAGCUGGUGCCAAUUAAGGGACAUUGGUCUCACCUGCCAGGUGAGCCAAAGGUCUGGAUGGAGAAAGAGAUGUAGGAAACACUGAGGAAGAUGGAUCCGGUUCUCUGGUUCUGCUGUAUCUGUAACUCGAUCUCGGAAGCUGAUUGGCUGCCUUCAAACGGCGCUGUCCAAUCAGCGGCCUCCGCGCGCGGUCUCCCGGGGAGUCGUGGAGGGGGAGGAGGGAGCUGUGAGGCUGGAGUCAGCUCGUCGUCCUCCCGCAGACCGGGCUCCGCGCGGCCCGCUGGCUCUCUGCGGGACUCGUACGUGUGUGGGAACGCGCUCCUUUGUUUCACGCUGGCCCUUUGGCCCGGAACGCCCAGGGGCCGCGGAGCGCCCGGCUUCAUCCUCCUCAGGGUAAACGGUCGUGACAGAGCGCUCAGGGGCCCCUCAUUAGCUCUAUGUCCACUAAGAAGCAAGAGAAGCUGCCUUAAUCCUCUCUGUCUUCUUCAGUCUGGCUCCACAGACUUCCUCAAACGCCCUCCUGGACCAUUUCAUGCUUUUAUUGUGGAAUUCUGAGCCCCCCAGAGCGGGUUUCUGCUGCAAAAUAACCAUUUUCACAUCCUUGAACAAAAUAAAAUGCUAUUUUUUUUGUUUC